rnacentral:rRNA from 1 species
AUUGAACGCUGGCGGCAGGCUUAACACAUGCAAGUCGAGCGAGCGGCGGACGGGCGAGUAAUGUCUGGGAAACUGCCUGAUGGAGGGGGAUAACCACUGGAAACGGUAGCUAAUACCGCAUACCAUCAGAUGUGCCCAGAUGGGAUUAGCCAGUAGGUGGGGUAAUGGCUCACCUAGGCGGCGAUCCCAAGCUGGUCUGAGAGGCUGACCGGCCACACUGCAGCUAUGACACGGUCCAGACUCCGACGAGAGGCAGAAGUGGGAAAUAUUGCACAAUAGGCGCAAGCCUGAUGCAGCCAUGCCGCGUGUGUGAAGAAGGCCUUCGGGUUGUAAAGCACUUUCAGCGAGGAGGCGUUACUCGAAGAAGAAGCACCGGCUAGCUCCGUGCCAGGCGCCGCGGUAAUUC